ensembl:lncRNA
GCUGGCAGCCAUCUGUACCUGGAAACUGCUUCUUUGGGGGAGCGAGUGAGUAUUGGUCCUUGGAAUGGGUUCCCUUGCUUCUGGAUUGCUUCAAUGAGCCCUAAUGAUGCUGAUUGGCUGACUGAGCGCUGCGGUUCUGGACACGUUUGCAGCUCAGUGGGUUUUAAGGAUUGUUGGGACUCCUCUAAUCGGUGGUGUGAGGCCUGUGGAGCAGCUAAUGGAACAUCACGACUAUGCUGACUUCCCCAGGGUCUUACGGUCAUUUCUGUUUCACCAGCAGAUCUGGGUGGCAGCAGAGAGCUGCAGCGCUCCCGAGUGCUGUAAGGACUGCACGGAGAGAUGUGCGGGUCUUCACGGGAACAGCCAGGAACCGAAAGCUGCAUUUCCUGGGAUGCCCUGGAGCUCCACUUUGCUGACUGGUAAUUGUCUGCCCAGCAGGCAGGUCUUCAAUGAAGAUAUUGGACAGAACAGGCCUGAAGAGCACUCAGGAUGGCAUACCAGCUGCAUUUAACACGAUGGAGCAGCACUCAUUAGGCCAGGCGGUUCAGCUAGUUCUUCAUCUAGCAAGCAACGUACC